CCUACGGGGUGCAGCAGUGGGGGAUAUUGCACAAUGGGGGAAACCCUGAUGCAGCGACGCCGCGUGGGUGAAGAAGCGCCUCGGCGCGUAAAGCCCUGUCAGCAGGGAAGAAAAUGACGGUACCUGAAGAAGAAGCCCCGGCUAACUACGUGCCAGCAGCCGCGGUAAUACGUAGGGGGCAAGCGUUAUCCGGAUUUACUGGGUGUAAAGGGGGCGCAGACGGCGAUGCAAGCCAGGAGUGAAAGCCCGGGGCCCAACCCCGGGACUGCUCUUGGAACUGCGUGGCUAGAGUGCAGGAGGGGCAGGCGGAAUUCCUGGUGUAGCGGUGAAAUGCGUAGAUAUCAGGAGGAACACCGGUGGCGAAGGCGGCCUGCUGGACUGCAACUGACGUUGAGGCCCGAAAGCGUGGGGAGCAAACAGGAUUAGAUACCCUUGUAUC
rnacentral:rRNA from 1 species